rnacentral:rRNA from 1 species
AUCUAUGGCCAUGCUACCCUGAACAAGCCCGAUCCCGUCUGAUCUCAGAAGCUAAGCAGGGUCGGGUCUGGUUAGUACUUGUAUGGGAGACUGCCUAGGAAGACCAGGUGCUGUAGGUG